rnacentral:rRNA from 1 species
CAGCGCCACGAGUGGGGAUCCUGUUUAUUUGGCCUAAAGCGUCCGUAGCUGGUUGAAUAAAUCUCUUGUGAAAUCGUUAAGCUUAACUUAACAGCGUGCAGGAGAGACUGUUCAACUAGGGACCGGGAGGAGUCAGAGGUAUGCCCAGGAGAGCGGUAAAAUGCUAUAAUCCUGAGUAGACCACCUGUGGCGAAGGCGUCUGACUAGAACGGGUUCGACAGUGAGGGACGAAAGCCAGGGGAGCAAACCGGAUUAGAUACCCGAGUAGUCC